rnacentral:rRNA from 1 species
GCAAGUCGAACGAAAUCGAAUCUUCGGAUUCAAUGAUUUAGUGGCGAACGGGUGAGUAACACGUAAGAAACCUGCCCUUAGGACGAGGAUAACUAUUGGAAACGAUAGCUAAUACUGGAUAGGAUAUUUGAUCGCAUGGUCGAAUAUUUAAAGAAGCUUUCAAGCUUCACCUUUGGAUGGUCUUGCGCUGUAUUAGCUAGUUGGUGAGGUAACGGCUCACCAAGGCGACGAUCCUUAGCUGGUCUAGAGGAUGAUC